GAUCCUGGCUCAGGACGAACGCUGGCGGCGCGCCUAACACAUGCAAGUCGAACGGUGAAGAGGAGCUUGCUCCUCGGAUCAGUGGCGGACGGGUGAGUAACACGUGAGCAACCUGGCUCUAAGAGGGGGACAACAGUUGGAAACGACUGCUAAUACCGCAUGACGUAUCGGGAUGGCAUCUUCCUGAUACCAAAGAUUUUAUCGCUUAGAGAUGGGCUCGCGUCUGAUUAG
rnacentral:rRNA from 1 species